AUUGAACGCUGGCGGCAGGCCUAACACAUGCAAGUCGAGCGGAUGAAGGGAGCUUGCUCCUGGAUUCAGCGGCGGACGGGUGAGUAAUGCCUAGGAAUCUGCCUGGCAGUGGGGGAUAACGUCCGUAAACGGGCGCUAAUACCGCAUACGUCCUGAGGGAGAAAGUGGGGGAUCUUCGGACCUCACGCUAUCAGAUGAGCCUAGGUCGGAUUAGCUAGUUGGUGGGGUAAAGGCCUACCAAGGCGACGAUCCGUAACUGGUCUGAGAGGAUGAUCAGUCACACUGGAACUGAGACACGGUCCAGACUCCUACGGGAGGCAGCAGUGGGGAAUAUUGGACAAUGGGCGAAAGCCUGAUGCAGCCAUGCCGCGUGUGUGAAGAAGGUCUUCGGAUUGUAAAACACUUUUAGUAGGGAGGAAGAGAAGUAAGUGAAUACCUUGCUGUUUUGACGUUACCAACAGAAUAAGCACCGGCUAACUUCGUG
rnacentral:rRNA from 1 species